rnacentral:rRNA from 1 species
AGAGUUUGAUCAUGGCUCAGAAUCAACGCUGGCGGCGUGCCUCAGACAUGCAAGUCGGACGCGAAAUCCCCCCUCGGGGGGAGAGUAGAGUGGCGCACGGGUGAGUAACACGUGGGUAAUCUGCCUUCGGGUGGGGAAUAACGACCGGAAACGGUCGCUAAUACCGCAUAACGCAGCGGCAGCCUCGGCUGACAGUUGUUAAAGCGGGGGACGGGCCUUCGGGCCCACCCCGCGCCUGGAGAGGAGCCCGCGGCGGAUUAGCUAGUUGGUAGGGUAACGGCCUACCAAGGCUCCGAUCCGUAGCCGGCCUGAGAGGGCGGUCGGCCACACUGACACUGACACACGGGUCAGACUCCUACGGGAGGCAGCAGUCGGGAAUUUUGGGCAAUGGGCGCAAGCCUGACCCAGCAACGCCGCGUGAAGGACGAAGCAUCUCGGUGUGUAAACUUCAUAAGAGUGGGAAGAAUAAGCGGGGGGUAAUAUCCCCCGUGAUGACGGUACCACUUGUAAGCCCCGGCUAACUCCGUGCCAGCAGCCGCGGUAAUACGGGGGGGGCAAGCGUUGUUCGGAUUUACUGGGCGUAAAGGGCGCGUAGGCGGCGCGACGAGUCACUUGUGAAAUCUCCGGGCUUAACCCGGAGCGGCCAAGUGAUACUGUCGUGCUGGAGUGCGGAAGGGGCCACCGGAAUUCUCGGUGUAGCGGUGAAAUGCGUAGAUAUCGAGAGGAACACCUGCGGCGAAGGCGGGUGGCUGGGCCGACACUGACGCUGAGGCGCGAAAGCCAGGGGAGCGAACGGGAUUAGAUACCCCGGUAGUCC